CUCUGUGCCUCACAGAUAUCCCUGGUGCUUCGCUGUAAGGUUUGGAGAUGAAGUUGCUAUUGCAGCAGUGUUGACAGGGUAUCUGAUAUGAAACUCCCCCAAAGGAGUCAAGACCCACAGGCUGAGAACCAUUGGAAUGGAACUCAUAGAAAGAGAAAGAUCUAGGCUCACUUUCCUAUGCUUGGAACACCUGGGCUCAUGCCUCUUUCUAUCCUGAUACACAUCAGUGCCAUGGACCAGACUAGAAAGGCAACUUCUAUUCUCCAUUCCUCAACUCUACCUCAGGCAGAGGCCGGCUGCCUGGGAAAGGAUGUGACCAUAAGAGAGACAGCUAUCUUCAGUGGGGACCUGGUGGAGGAGCUGUCACCACUUCAAGCCAUUGUGUUACAGGGUGGAGUUCCUGAACUUCCUGGCAAUCUGAAUCCACUUCUGAGUCUUUAAUCUCAGGCCCUGGUGGGAUGACUCAA
rnacentral:lncRNA from 1 species